rnacentral:rRNA from 1 species
CGGCGGACGGGUGAGUAACGCGUGGGUAACCUGCCUCAUACAGGGGGAUAACAGUUAGAAAUGACUGCUAAUACCGCAUAAGACCACGGUACCGCAUGGUACAGUGGUAAAAACUCCGGUGGUAUGAGAUGGACCCGCGUUGGAUUAGCUUGUUGGUGGGGUAACGGCCCACCAAGGCGACGAUCCAUAGCCGGCCUGAGAGGGUGAACGGCCACAUUGGGACUGAGACACGGCCCAG